CAGCAGUGGGGGAAGUAUUGCACAAUGGGCGGCAAGCCUGAUGCAGCGACGCCGCGUGCGGGAUGGAGGCCUUCGGGUUGUAAACCGCUUUUGUUCAAGGGCAAGGCAGGCUUUCGGGCCUGUUGAGUGGAUUGUUCGAAUAAGCACCGGCUAACUACGUGCC
rnacentral:rRNA from 1 species